CUUUGCUCUUUCUAACUCCCUGCAAGUGUGGCAUGCGUGCCGCGCAGAGCAUUGCCAUAGUUAGAGAGAGCAAAGAGCUGUAACAUACAUAUGCAGUCUGCUGGGCCCCCUCUGCAAGUAUAGGGAGCCGGGGGCCCGCAGCUGCACAUAUAUAUAUAGCGAUCAUCGCUAUAUAUAUGUGCAGAGAGGGAAUGUGGGGCCAGAGACUGCCAAAGCAGUUCGGGCCCCCCAGGACUGCCGGGCCCGUGACAAC